AAAAAUCCAACAAAUUCAACCAUUAUUCAUCUACACCGCGAGCAAGUGAUUAAGAAUUGCUUGGGUAGAAAUUUCUGAUAGAAUCAUAGACCACGAAUAGAGAAAAGUUCUUACAGGCAAGGAAACGGGGUCAGUGAGGUGAAGCAACCGCAGCUGUUUGCCUCUAGACGGACAAAGCAUGACAGUUCCCACUUCCUCUCCCGCACCUUUCUACAGAGACCGAAGGGAGCUGUGCUACGGAUGACUCGAAGGCGAAAUCUGGAGCCUGUAUCUGGCGAAGUCGAUAUGACCUCCGCAGAGAGAACCAGUUUCCCUCGCUUCCUCCUGUCCUCAGCAAAAACCCUUCCCUCCUACUUUAGAGACAUAACCGAGAUACCUGGAAUCAGCCCGUCUGUUGAUCUUUGCACAUUUGUUUCUGCGGGGUGGAGGUCACUUGAGAGAAGUCUAUUAUUCCGGCCUCCUGUCUACUUCCUCUGGAGCCCUUUCCCUUCAAGUUUCCUUAUUCCUUUAGCCACAGCCUAUGGACAGCUUGUUUACAAAUCCCAGCCUCCGCCAUAGGAGGAGGCUCUUGAAGCUUUCAAAGCCCCAUCAGGCUAAUGUCUCUGUGCAUUACAUAAGAUACCUCUCCCAGAGAACUCUUUCCCCUUUGGAAAUAGACAUAAGCAAGGGGAACACAUGUUCUGAGACGUGCCAAGUCCUUAGGAAUGGCUUUAAGAUCACAAUAGCUCACAGUACAAGAAUAGUAAAACCGGUCCUUCUUGUCCCUAACUAAAUAAUUUCUACUAAGCAGAGCUGGACAUUAACCCCCUCGUUCUACUUUCUGUUGCUUCAGGAUAUAGCUCUCGGCCUUUUCCAAAUACCAGGGUCAUCAGUGUCCCUGUCUGUGUUAUUUUAUUCUUUAUACAUUUGUAGUCUUCACUGAAGACAUCAAGCGCCCCACAAGUAUGCACUACAAACACCCCACCUGAGAAAGUAGAGAGGGUUUUCUUCUCCCCAGUAACACCUUUGUAAAGUGAUACACCCCAUUACAAAUCCUCAGGAAGUGAUCUCUUUAAUGCGUUGAAUCCAGGUAUGGACUUGGAGCUGAAUAAAAAGGGAUCAUUCCGUCCUUGCUCACCUGUGCUACCUUA